rnacentral:lncRNA from 13 species
AUUUUUAUUAAAAAUCGGAGGAAAUAAUCCGAGGGAUAAUAUACAUCGUAUUCUAAAAAAGAUUUUUACCAACGAGUGUGCUGUAAACUGCUCUUAGAAGGGUGUACGAAAAAAUUUCCGGCCGGACAAUUUACAUUUCAUAAAAAUGAUAAGACGACAUAUUACUUCGCACCAUAUGACCCUCACAGAAUCCGAAUUUGAUAACAUCGCGGCUGAAUGGAUCCGCUUCGCAAAACAGCGUAAGAUAAGAGAA